UGGGGAAUAUUGGGCAAUGGACGCAAGUCUGACCCAGCGACGCCGCGUGCGGGAUGAAGGCCUUCGGGUUGUAAACCGCUUUCAGCAGGGAAGAAGCGAAAGUGACGGUACCUGCAAAAGAAGCACCGGCUAACUAUGUGCCAGCAGCCGCGGUAAUACAUAGGGUGCAAGCGUUGUCCGGAAUUAUUGGGCGUAAAGCGUGCGCAGGCGGUUAUACAAGACAGGCGUGAAAUCCCCGGGCUUAACCUGGGAAUGGCGCCUGUGACUGUAUAGCUAGAGUGUGUCAGAGGGGGGUAGAAUUCCACGUGUAGCAGUGAAAUGCGUAGAUAUGUGGAGGAACACCAAUGGCGAAGGCAGGUCUCUGGGCCAAUACUGACACUGAGGAGCGAGAGCGUGGGGAGCGAACAGG
rnacentral:rRNA from 1 species